rnacentral:tRNA from 1 species
GGGAAUGUGGCUUAGUGGUAGAGUGCUUGCCCAACAUGCAUGAAGCCCUGGGUUCGAUUCCUCAGUACCA